rnacentral:rRNA from 1 species
GUCUAUAGCCAUACUGCCCUGAAUGCUCCCAAUCUCGUCUGACCUCAAAAGCUAAGCAGGGUGGGCCUGGUUAGUACUUAGAUGGGAGACUGCCCAGGAAUGCCAGGUGCUGUAUGUA